UACGGAAGGUCCAGGCGUUAUCCGGAUUUAUUGGGUUUAAAGGGAGUGUAGGCGGUCUGUUAAGCGUGUUGUGAAAUUUAGGUGCUCAACAUCUAACUUGCAGCGCGAACUGGCGGACUUGAGUGCACGCAACGUAUGCGGAAUUCAUGGUGUAGCGGUGAAAUGCUUAGAUAUCAUGACGAACUCCGAUUGCGAAGGCAGCGUACGGGAGUGUUACUGACGCUUAAGCUCGAAGGUGCGGGUAU
rnacentral:rRNA from 1 species